UCUACCUAGUAGUACGGAAUAAUUGUUGGAAACGGCAACUAAUACCGUAUACGCCCUACGGGGGAAAAAUUUAUUGCUAUUAGAUGAGCCUAUAUUAGAUUAGCUAGUUGGUGGAGUAAUAGCCUACCAAGGCAAUGAUCUAUAGCUGAUCUGAGAGGAUGAUCAGCCAUACUGGAACUGAGAUACGGUCCAGACUCCUACGGGAGGCAGCAGUGGGGAAUAUUGGACAAUGGGCGAAAGCCUGAUCCAGCCAUGCCGCAUGAGUGAAGAAGGCCUUUGGGUUGUAAAGCUCUUUUAGUGAGGAAGAUAAUGACGGUACUCACAGAAGAAGUCCUGGCUAACUCCGUGCCAGCAGCCGCGGUAAUACGGAGAGGGCUAGCGUUAUUCGGAAUUAUUGGGCGUAAAGGGCGCGUAGGCUGGUUAGUAAGUUAAAAGUGAAAUCCCGAGGCUUAACCUUGGAAUUGCUUUUAAAACUGCUAACCUAGAGAUUGAAAGAGGAUAGAGGAAUUCCUAGUGUAGAGGUGAAAUUCGUAAAUAUUAGGAGGAACACCAGUGGCGAAGGCGUCUAUCUGGUUCAAAUCUGACGCUGAGGCGCGAAGGCGUGGGGAGCAAACAGGAUUAGAUACCCUGGUAGUCCACGCUGUAAACGAUGAAUGUUAAAUAUGGGGAGUUUACUUUCUGUAUUACAGCUAACGCGUUAAACAUUCCGCCUGGGGACUACGGUCGCAAGAUUAAAACUCAAAGGAAUUGACGGGGACCCGCACAAGCGGUGGAGCAUGUGGUUUAAUUCGAUGCAACGCGAAAAACCUUACCACUCCUUGACAUGGAAAUUAUACCUAUUCGAAGGGAUAGG
rnacentral:rRNA from 1 species